AUUGAACGCUGGCGGCAUGCCUUACACAUGCAAGUCGAACGGUAACAGGUCUUCGGAUGCUGACGAGUGGCGAACGGGUGAGUAAUACAUCGGAACGUGCCUAGUAGUGGGGGAUAACUACUCGAAAGAGUGGCUAAUACCGCAUGAGAUCUACGGAUGAAAGCAGGGGAUCGCAAGACCUUGUGCUACUAGAGCGGCCGAUGGCAGAUUAGGUAGUUGGUGGGAUAAAAGCUUACCAAGCCGACGAUCUGUAGCUGGUCUGAGAGGCCGAUCAGCCACACUGGGACUGAGACACGGCCCAGGCUCCUACGGGAGGCAGCAGUGGGGAAUUUUGGACAAUGGGCGCAAGCCUGAUCCAGCAAUGCCGCGUGCAGGAUGAAGGCCUUCGGGUUGUAAACUGCUUUUGUACGGAACGAAAAGCCCUGGGUUAAUACCCUGGGGUCAUGACGGUACCGUAAGAAUAAGCACCGGCUAACUACGUGCCAGCCGCCGCAGUAA
rnacentral:rRNA from 1 species